rnacentral:rRNA from 1 species
AAUAAAGAGUUGGGCCUGCUCGGUGAAUAAAUUGUUUUAACAGCUGCGGUAUUUUAACUGUACUAAGGUAGCAUAAUAAUUUGCCUUAUAAUUUGAGGCUAGAAUGAAUGGUUUGACGAAGGUUAAUCUGUCUCUACUUUAUUUUUUAGAAUUUAAUUUUUAUAGUGAAAAAGCUUGAAUUUUUUAAAGGGACGAGAAGACCCUAUUGAGCUUAUAAUUUUAUUGCUGGUUCAUUAUCGAUAGAUGAAGAGUAUAUAAAUUUUAAUUGGGGUGAUUAAGGAAUAACAUUAAUUAGUAACUUCCUUAUAAAAAGAUUUUGUUGAAUGAAGUAACCAAUAAUAAAUAUUGCUUAUAAUAUAGUUACCAUAGGGAUAACAGCGUAAUUUGUUUAGAGAGUUCUUAUUGAAAAACAAGAUUGCGACSUCGAUGUUGGAUUAAAGUAACCUUAAGGUGCAGAAGCUUUAUUAGGUAAAUCUGUUCAUUU